ensembl:lncRNA
GACAUAUGCUCUUUUUCAUAUUUGAAGGACCUGUACCUUCAACUAACAAACUUUGCUAUAAAGAUUGCAAAUCAUGCAAAUUUACCCUGAUAAUGUAAUAAUAUAAUAAAUAUAUAUAAUAAAUAAUGUAAACUGACUCCCUGUAAUUCUGAUAAAUUGUCUCUGCAGUUUCAACAUCAGCCAUUGAACAUACGAGUACAACAGCCACGACAACCUCUUUAACUGUAAUGUCCACUUCUGAAAUCACAACAUACGUAGACCAUCAUUCCAAGACAAACCUUCCAACCAACACAGAAAAGGAAAAAAUGUGUUAUCAUUAGUAAAACUCUGUCACUGUGCAUACAUGCAUCAUACAUAUGAAUUCUUCUUCAGUAUCACACAAUAUACAACUUAAUUAAAAAAAA